rnacentral:rRNA from 1 species
UACGUAGGGUGCAAGCGUUGUCCGGAUUUAUUGGGCGUAAAGAGCUCGUAGGCGGUUUGUCGCGUCGGAUGUGAAAACCCAGGGCUCAACCCUGGGCCUGCAUUCGAUACGGGCAGGCUAGAGUGUGGUAGGGGAGACUGGAAUUCCUGGUGUAGCGGUGGAAUGCGCAGAUAUCAGGAGGAACACCGGUGGCGAAGGCGGGUCUCUGGGCAGUAACUGACGCUGAGGAGCGAAAGCGUGGGGAGCGAACAGG